AACGCACAUUGCGCCCUCUGGUAUUCCGGGGGGCAUGCCUGUUCGAGCGUCAUUACAACCCUCAAGCUCUGCUUGGUGUUGGGCUCGCCCUGUAGGGCCUGCCUCAAAGUCAGUGGCGGCACCGUCUGACCCUAAGCGUAGUAAUACUAGCCGCUUAUUGGAGUCGGGCGCCUGCUUGUCAACAACCCCCACUUUAAAGGUUGACCUCGGAUCAGGUAGGGAUACCCGCUGAACUUAA
rnacentral:misc_RNA from 1 species